GAUGAACGCUGGCGGCGUGCCUAAUACAUGCAAGUCGAGCGAACAGACGAGGGGCUUGCUCCUCUGACGUUAGCGGCGGACGGGUGAGUAACACGUGGAUAACCUACCUAUAAGACUGGGAUAACUUCGGGAAACCGGAGCUAAUACCGGAUAAUAUAUUGAACCGCAUGGUUCAAUAGUGAAAGACGGUUUUGCUGUCACUUAUAGAUGGAUCCGCGCCGCAUUAGCUAGUUGGUAAGGUAACGGCUUACCAAGGCAACGAUGCGUAGCCGACCUGAGAGGGUGAUCGGCCACACUGGAACUGAGACACGGUCCAGACUCCUACGGGAGGCAGCAGUAGGGAAUCUUCCGCAAUGGGCGAAAGCCUGACGGAGCAACGCCGCGUGAGUGAUGAAGGUCUUCGGAUCGUAAAACUCUGUUAUUAGGGAAGAACAAAUGUGUAAGUAACUAUGCACGUCUUGACGGUACCUAAUCAGAAAGCCACGGCUAACCACGUG
rnacentral:rRNA from 1 species